GAGAGGAUGAUCAGGCACACUGGAACUGAGACACGGUCCACACUCCUACGGGAGGCAGCAGUGGGGAAUAUUGGACAAUGGGCGAAAGCCUGAUCCAGCCAUGCCGCGUGUGUGAAGAAGGUCUUCCGAUUGUAAAGCACUUUAAGUUGGGAGGAAGGGCAAUUACCUAAUACGUGGUUGUUUUGACGUUACCGACUUUUAUAAGCACCGGCUAACUCUGUG
rnacentral:rRNA from 1 species